AACAAGGCGUACCUGCGGACCUGCGGAAGGAUCAUUACCAGAGUGCCUUCAGGCUCUCCAACCCACUGUGAACAUACCUACGUUCCCCCGGCGGGCUCAGCGCGCGGCGGCUCCGGCCGCCCGCGUCCGCCGAGGGCAUCUCAAACCCGAAUUUAUUCGUGUCUUCUGAGGGGCGAAAGCCCGUAAAGCAAAAUGAAUCAAAACUUUUAACAACGGAUCU
rnacentral:misc_RNA from 1 species